UAAACGCUGCUGUGACUUGUGGGGUUAUGUUUACGAAACGUUCUGAGCAGAGAUAAGUAACUGCAUAUUUAUUUAAGAAUUUAUUUUUUACGGAGACCAAUGCUAAGUACUGCUGGAAAGAAUGCUUGCACUUAAAGAAUAUGGUAGUAGCGAUGAAAAUGGAGAUUCUGGAGAGGAAUCAAAAACUGAAGAGAAGGAAGUUAGUGAGGUUAGGAAGGAGACAUCGAAUAAGGAUGAGCUUGCUAAUAGCGAACCAGCUCCCGGAAACCCCGUAGUAUCUCUUAAAUUACAAAUCUGCUCUGCACCUGAAGUUGUACCUACGGGGACCGAGCUGUGCGUUAAACAUGUUGAUUCUACAGUGAGCGAAAUAUUGCACAAUCCAAAGUUCGAAGAGCUUUUUGCACCCGAUGUGGGACCAGAAAAUCCUUUUAAAACACAGCAACAGAGAGCGAUAAAAAAUAUGCUUUCUGGUUAUGUAGAAAAAGCUCAUAUCAGUGAAUUUCAGUUUGAAAAUCAAAGAAGGACAUUUGCAAGUUAUGGAUAUGCACUGGAUCCUACCGUUGAUGGCAGUGCAGAAGAAGGGAAAACAAUAAUAGGUGCGAAGGAAGCAGCAGAGGAAUCGGGAGGAAAAACUGUAUUUGAGAAUACAACAUUAAGAGACGCAGAUAAACGGAAAAGACACAGGAAUAACGAUCCAGGUGACAUCGAAGGAUUCUUAGGCCCUUGGGGUGGAUACGUGGAUGAACAACGAGUUGUAAAGCCUACAGAUGAAGAAGCUGCAGAACUGGAAGAAAUUUUAGCAAAAAGAAAUAAGAGAGGCAAACAAACCGAGGAGAAGCCUGUAGAGGAAAAGACAGUAUUGCACAUCAAGGACAGCAUGGAUUAUCAGGGACGAUCGUUUCUUCAUGCUCCUCAAGAUGUUGGGGUGAAUUUAAGAUCCGAAUCACCACCAGAACGUUGUUUUCUCCCCAAAGCCCAGAUUCAUACAUGGGAAGGUCAUACAAAGGGUAUAUCACAAAUUCGCUGGUUUCCGCGAACUGCACACUUGUUGCUUUCUUGUAGUAUGGAUUGUAGGGUUAAGUUGUGGGAAGUUUUUAAGGAUCGAAGAUGUGUACGUACUUACUACGGUCAUCGUCAGGCUGUGCGAGACAUUGGCUUCGAUAACGAUGGUAAAAGGUUCCUUUCAGCAGGCUAUGAUCGAUAUGUAAAAUUAUGGGACACUGAAACUGGGGCUUGUAUAAGUCGCUUUACCAGUCGGAAGAUUCCUUACUGUGCAAAGUUUAAUCCAGAUCCGGAUAAGCAACAUCUCUUUGUAGCUGGCACCAGUGACAAGAAAAUUAUUUGCUGGGACAUCAGAUCUGGUGAAAUAACGCAAGAGUACGACAGACAUUUAGGUGCUGUUAAUACGAUUACUUUUGUCGACGAAAAUCGAAGAUUUGUCACAACUUCAGAUGAUAAGAGUCUUCGAGUUUGGGAAUGGGAUAUUCCAGUCGAUAUGAAAUAUAUCGCUGAUCCAUCGAUGCAUUCGAUGCCUGCAGUUACACCCUCACCUAAUCAGAAGUGGCUUGCCUGUCAGAGCAUGGAUAACAAAAUCGUCAUAUUCUCAGCUCUCAAUAGAUUUAAGAUGAAUCGUAAGAAAACAUUCACAGGACAUAUGGUUGCUGGUUAUGCCUGCGGGCUUGACUUCUCUCCUGAUAUGAGCUAUCUCGUGUCUGGAGAUGCUGAUGGUAAAUGCUAUGUAUGGGAUUGGAAAACCACGAAAUUGUACAAAAAGUGGAAAGCACACGACGGAGUCUGCAUCGCUGUCUUGUGGCAUCCUCACGAGCCCUCGAGACUGGCAACUGCCGGUUGGGAUGGAAAAAUAAAAUACUGGGAUUAAUUCUCCAUUGUACUUAUUGGAACACCUCUGCAUCGGCUGAUCCCACUUUACUAUUUGCAUCUUUCGACUUCUGUCAAAGCGUGUGAAGAAUUAAUUUAGAGAUCUAAUAAGAUGGGGAUCAGCUGAUGUUUUUCCAACGUUGCGUCUGA